rnacentral:rRNA from 1 species
AUUGAACGCUGGCGGCAGGCUUAACACAUGCAAGUCGAGCGGGGAAAGGUAGCUUGCUACUGGACCUAGCGGCGGACGGGUGAGUAAUGCUUAGGAAUCUGCCUAUUAGUGGGGGACAACAUCUCGAAAGGGAUGCUAAUACCGCAUACGUCCUACGGGAGAAAGCAGGGGACCUUCGGGCCUUGCGCUAAUAGAUGAGCCUAAGUCGGAUUAGCUAGUUGGUGGGGUAAAGGCCUACCAAGGCGACGAUCUGUAGCGGGUCUGAGAGGAUGAUCCGCGCCACUGGGACUGAGCCACGGCCCAGAAUCCUACGGGAGUAAGCAGUGGGGAAUAUUGGACAAUGGGGGGAACCCUGAUCCAGCCAUGCCGCGUGUGUGAAGAAGGCCUUUUGGUUGUAAGGCACUUUAAGCGAGGAGGAGGCUACCGAGAUUAAUACUCUUGGAUAGUGGACGUUACUCGCAGAAUAAGCACCGGCUAACUCUGUGCCAGCCGCCGCCGUAACAC